UACGUAGGGUGCAAGCGUUGUCCGGAAUUAUUGGGCGUAAAGAGCUCGUAGGCGGUCUGUCGCGUCGAAUGUGAAAACCCGGGGCUCAACCCCGGGCCUGCAUUCGAUACGGGCAGACUAGAGUUCGGUAGGGGAGUCUGGAAUUCCUGGUGUAGCGGUGAAAUGCGCAGAUAUCAGGAGGAACACCGGUGGCGAAGGCGGGGCUCUGGGCCGAUACUGACGCUGAUGCGCGAAAGCCAGGGGAGCGAACGGG
rnacentral:rRNA from 1 species